GACGAACGCUGGCGGCGUGCCUAAUACAUGCAAGUCGAGCGAGCUUGCCUAGAUGAUUUUAGUGCUUGCACUAAAAUGAAACUAGAUACAAGCGAGCGGCGGACGGGUGAGUAACACGUGGGUAACCUGCCCAAGAGACUGGGAUAACACCUGGAAACAGAUGCUAAUACCGGAUAACAACACUAGACGCAUGUCUAGAGUUUGAAAGAUGGUUCUGCUAUCACUCUUGGAUGGACCUGCGGUGCAUUAGCUAGUUGGUAAGGUAACGGCUUACCAAGGCAACGAUCGGUAGCCGGACUGAGAGGUUGAACGGCCACAUUGGGACUGAGACACGGCCCAG
rnacentral:rRNA from 1 species